GCUAACGGUAUUGUUUUGCUUUGUCCUUGUUUAUCUUUAUAGUUUUCGGAUUCCCCCUAAUCUUAAACAGAGAAAGGUUGCCCUAUUUAUUGUUGUACAUCCCAAGAUAAGAAUUUUGUUAAAUGCAUGUAGAUCCAGUUAGAAUUAAACAAUAUACCAGUGAAUGCAUGCCUUAUAAUCUAUGCACCUUCCAACUAAUGAGCCUCAUUGAGUCAAUACGUGCACAAGUCUUCAUGUGUGAAGUUGAGGAAUCUAACAUCAUGCUUGUGAUGCAGUAAGACCACACUCCACUGCUUGACAUGCAUCCUGAUUUCUGGCUAGACUGAACUUUUGCAAAAGCUUUUUCA
rnacentral:misc_RNA from 1 species